UGGGGAAUAUUGGACAAUGGGGGGAACCCUGAUCCAGCCAUGCCGCGUGUGUGAAGGAGGCCUUAUGGUUGUAAAGCACUUUAAGCGAGGAGGAGGGUACUGGUAUUAAUACUACCAGGUACUGGACGUUACUCGCAGAAUAAGCACCGGCUAACUCUGUGCCAGCAGCCGCGGUAAUACAGAGGGUGCGAGCGUUAAUCGGAUUUACUGGGCGUAAAGCGUGCGUAGGCGGCUAAUUGAGUCGGAUGUGAAAUCCCCGAGCUUAACUUGGGAAUUGCAUUCGAUACUGGUUAGCUAGAGUGUGGGAGAGGAUGGUAGAAUUCCAGGUGUAGCGGUGAAAUGCGUAGAGAUCUGGAGGAAUACCGAUGGCGAAGGCAGCCAUCUGGCCUAACACUGACGCUGAGGUACGAAAGCAUGGGGAGCAAACAGG
rnacentral:rRNA from 1 species